AGUGAACGCUGGCGGUAGGCCUAACACAUGCAAGUCGAACGGCAGCACAGUAAGAGCUUGCUCUUACGGGUGGCGAGUGGCGGACGGGUGAGGAAUACAUCGGAAUCUACUUUUUCGUGGGGGAUAACGUAGGGAAACUUACGCUAAUACCGCAUACGACCUACGGGUGAAAGCAGGGGAUCUUCGGACCUUGCGCGAUUGAAUGAGCCGAUGUCGGAUUAGCUAGUUGGCGGGGUAAAGGCCCACCAAGGCGACGAUCCGUAGCUGGUCUGAGAGGAUGAUCAGCCACACUGGAACCGAGACACGGUCCAGACUCCUACGGGAGGCAGCAGUGGGGAGUAUUGGACAAUGGGCGCAAGCCUGAUCCAGCCAUACCGCGUGGGUGAAGAAGGCCUUCGGGUUGUAAAGCCCUUUUGUUGGGAAAGAAAAGCAGCAGGUUAAUACCCCGCUGUUCUGACGGUACCCAAAGAAUAAGCACCGGCUAACUUCGUG
rnacentral:rRNA from 1 species